UGAGUAAGUCAGACAGUCGCGUGCACAAAUUCGAAAGAAUGUUCACGAGGAAAGUCCGAGCUCCAUAGGGCAGAAUGCUGGGUAACCCCCAGUAGAGGCGACUCUAAGGAUAGUGCAACAGAAAUAAACCGCUUUUGGCUAACCAAAAGUAAGGGUGGAAAGGUGAGGUAAGAGCUCACCGCUUCCUUGGCGACAAGGAGGGCUAUGUAAACCCCAUUCGGAGCAAAACCGCAUAGGAGAACAUUUGUGACGGCCCGUCAUGUUCUCGGGUAGGUUGCUGGAGCUUAUUGGUAACAAUAAGCCUAGAUAGAUGACUGUUUGAUACAGAACUCGGCUUAUAGACUUGCUCAAGUA
rnacentral:RNase_P_RNA from 1 species